ensembl:lncRNA
CUGGGACCUAAGGAUAAAUAUACAAGGAUAUUUAUAGAAAUGUUUUUUGAAGUGAUGAAAACCUGGAAACAUUUACUUCCAAGAUGAGAGGUUAAACUGUGAUAUGUCUACACAUGGAAUAUUAUGUGAUUGUGAAAAAGGAUGAGUUGGCUUUGUUCUAAGUGCCCUGGAGGACUUCCAUGGUAUAUGGUUAGCUCAGAGACCUUUCUGCCUUGCCUUUCUGCCGGAUUCCCCAGCAUGUGGUCCAGAGCCCAUCGCAGAGCAGGCCCCAGAGGUUGCAAACAAAUUUUCACUGGGUGAAGACAAUUACAUUUACAGGCUCUCCAGAAGUCCUUGGCUUGGCCGGAUGGCAGCUCUGCUCCCCGGGGCAGGAGAAGGUUUGGAGUGCUGGCAGAAGCUUCUCGAAUCCUCCCGUUGCUCCUGCUGUGGCCUUGGCUCAGGCUGGGGGCUCCAGUGCCUCUCCCAGUGGGUGCCGGAGGCUGGAGCCGCCUUUGUCUGCCGCAGGAGGCCAGCCAGGCGGCUGCGGCUGCAACCGGCCCCUGCCCAGGCCUGGGAGAUGGUUUUUUUUUCCCUGUGUGUUGCAGCUGGGACCAUUUAUAAUAGAAAAAAAGAGAGAGAGAGAAUGACCAGGCCAGCCGGCUGGAAAAUAAAGAGAC